GAGAGUUUAAUUAAUUUUGGUCUUGUGGACAACAAGUGGCUUUCAGGUAGUGUUGGGUUAAAAUCUGCAGCAGAGGUGUAAAUUUAAUUUUUUAUCGGGUGUAUUUAUAGUCUGUGUUUGGGUGUAUUAUGCAGAUCUCUAUGCAGACCGUCAUAUAUGGGUUCCAAUC